rnacentral:rRNA from 1 species
GACGAACGCUGGCGGCGUGCUUAACACAUGCAAGUCGAACGGAAAGGCCCUGCUUUUGUGGGGUGCUCGAGUGGCGAACGGGUGAGUAACACGUGAGUAACCUGCCCUUGACUUUGGGAUAACUUCAGGAAACUGGGGCUAAUACCGCAUAGGAGCUCCUGCUGCAUGGUGGGGGUUGGAAAGUUUCGGCGGUUGGGGAUGGACUCGCGGCUUAUCAGCUUGUUGGUGGGGUAGUUGCUUACCAAGGCUGUGACGGGUAGCCGGCCUGAGAGGGUGACCGGCCACAUUGGGACUGAGAGACGGCCCAGACUCCUACGGGAGGCAGCAGUGGGGAAUAUUGCACAAUGGGCGGAAGCCUGAUGCAGCGACGCCGCGUGCGGGAUGACGGCCUUCGGGUGGUAAACCGCUUUCGCCUGUGACGAAGCGUGAGUGACGGUAAUGGGUAAAGAAGCACCGGCUAACUACGUG